AACGAACGCUGGCGGCAGGCUUAACACAUGCAAGUCGAGCGAGACCUUCGGGUCUAGCUGCGGACGGGUGAGUAACGCGUGGGAACGUGCCCUUCUCUACGGAAUAGCCCCGGGAAACUGGGAGUAAUACCGUAUACGCCCUUUGGGGGAAAGAUUUAUCGGAGAAGGAUCGGCCCGCGUUGGAUUAGGUAGUUGGUGGGGUAAUGGCCCACCAAGCCGACGAUCCAUAGCUGGUUUGAGAGGAUGAUCAGCCACACUGGGACUGAGACACGGCCCAGACUCCUACGGGAGGCAGCAGUGGGGAAUCUUAGACAAUGGGGGCAACCCUGAUCUAGCCAUGCCGCGUGAGUGAUGAAGGCCUUAGGGUUGUAAAGCUCUUUCAGCUGGGAAGAUAAUGACGGUACCAGCAGAAGAAGCCCCGGCUAACUCCGUG
rnacentral:rRNA from 1 species